ensembl:misc_RNA Y_RNA Y RNA
GGCUGGUCCGAACAUACUGAGUUACCUCAAAUGACUAUUCAAGAACAUUAACAGACAGAAUUUCUUGUGAUACUCUUUCCUCCCUUCUCACUGCUGUACUUGACUAGUCUUAA